GACGUAUUAUGAUUGUUGCAAUUACUGAUGGUAGAGCUAACAUCUCUCUUAAAAGAUCCACGGAUCCUGAAGCUGAAACUUCUGAUGCACCCAGACCUUCUUCCCAAGAGCUGAAGGUAAAUAACCAAAUUGACAUCCUUUAAAUGCCUCGAUGUACUACUUGAAGUAAAAUUGUUUGCUUUGACUUGAAAUUGGAAAAGCCUACUCGUAGUAACACUAUACCUUAUAUUUGGGACAAGUUACAAGUGUCUUUUACAUGGAGUAAUAUUGUCGGUGAGGAUUCCUAUAGCUAAUUUAAGACAAGAGGGGUUGCUCUGAUGGUAAGCAACUUCCACUUCCAACCGAGAGGUUGUGAGUUCGAGUCUCCCCAAGAGCUAACAUCUCUCUUAAAAUAUUCACGGAUCCUGAAGCUGAAACUUCUGAUGCACCCAGACCUUCUUCCCAAGAGCUGAAGGCAAAUAACCAAAUUGACAUCCUUUAAAUGCCUCGAUGCACUACUUGAAGUAAAAUUGUUUGCUUUGACUUGAAAUUGGAGAAGCCUACUCGUAGUAACACUAUACCUUAUAUUUGGGACAAGUUACAAGUGUCUUUUACAUGGAGUAAUAUUGUCAGUGAGGAUUCCUAUAGCUAAUCCCAACUUGUUUAGAAUUGAGGCGUAGUAGUAGCUAUUGUUGUUGUACAUGCGUGUUUUAAAAUUUUGAAUUUUCAAAUUAAUGAACUAAGAAUCGUUUCCUCUAAUUUUAUAUCAAAUGGACAAUUGGCAAAAGCAUUAGUGGCGUCAACCAUUUCACCUUAAAGGCACAAAUUACAAUUAGGCUAAAUUUUAGGUUUUGAAGCAGCAAA
rnacentral:lncRNA from 1 species